rnacentral:rRNA from 1 species
AGGCCAGCAGUGAGGAAUUUUSCGCAAUGGGCGAAAGCCUGACGGAGCMAUGCCGCGUGAGGGAAGACGGCCUAUGGGUUGUAAACCUCUUUUUUCAGGGAGGAAUAAUUGACGUGUACCUGAAGAAUAAGCAUCGGCUACUCCG